GAUGAACGCUAGCGGGAGGCUUAACACAUGCAAGUCGUGGGGCAGCACGGGGUAGCAAUACUCUGGUGGCGACCGGCGCACGGGUGAGUAACGCGUAUACAACCUGCCCUGUACAGGGGGAUAGCCCGGAGAAAUUCGGAUUAAUACCCCAUAAAGAUAUUGAGAGGCGACUUUUAAUAUUUAAAGUUUCGGCGGUACGGGAUGGGCAUGCGUGACAUUAGCUAGUUGGUAGGGUAACGGCCUACCAAGGCUUCGAUGUCUAGGGGUCCUGAGAGGGUGAUCCCCCACACUGGUACUGAGACACGGACCAGACUCCUACGGGAGGCAGCAGUGAGGAAUAUUGGUCAAUGGGCGCAAGCCUGAACCAGCCAUCCCGCGUGCAGGAAGAAGGCGCUAUGCGUCGUAAACUGCUUUUUCAGGGGAAGAAAAUCUCGUACGUGUACGGGACUGACGGUACCCUGUGAAUAAGCAUCGGCUAACUCCGUGCCAGCCGCCGCGGUAACAC
rnacentral:rRNA from 1 species